rnacentral:misc_RNA from 1 species
GGGAAGCAGCGAAGGGGGGAACGCGAAUGGCACGCGCCGCGGAGAGGAGGCCGGUGGGAGGGGCAGCCGAUAAAAAAUCGACAUCGGGUCUGUUGCGCGGUGACGUUCGUCGGAAAUUGGGUCAUCUUAAAUCCUUUUGGUUUUAAGCGACUUAAAAUUUUCUUUUUGGUUCCAUGAACGUUUCUAAGAUUUAUUUCUUUACACGUUUAAGGGUAUCGAUUUUUAUUAGACGUGACCAUCAUAUCGGAUCGCGUCCAUAAUCUUUCAUUAACUGACCUCAGACAGGUAAGAGUACCCG